UACGUAGGGUGCGAGCGUUGUCCGGAAUUAUUGGGCGUAAAGAGCUCGUAGGCGGUGUGUCACGUCGGCCGUGAAAACCUGGGGCUUAACUCUGGGCGUGCGGUCGAUACGGGCAUCACUAGAGUUCGGCAGGGGAGACUGGAAUUCCUGGUGUAGCGGUGAAAUGCGCAGAUAUCAGGAGGAACACCAAUAGCGAAGGCAGCUCGCUGGGACGGUACUGACGCUAAGGCGCGAAAGCGUGGGGAGCGAACAGG
rnacentral:rRNA from 1 species